CUCGGGUUCAAAAAAUGCUAUCCGAUGAAUAUUCAACUGCCUCCAAUAUAAAAUCUCGC
rnacentral:tRNA from 1 species